ensembl:lncRNA
GCUACACUUGAUACUUCCAAGGCUGAUUUCCUCCAAGCUCCCCUUUCUUCACCUCCUUUGCCCUAGGCUUUCAUAAAGCCAGACAGAGAAAAAGGAAUUUCACUUCCCAAAUGCUAGAACUGCUGGUGCAGAACGUAACUAAAUAUCAGCAGCUGUGCCAGGGCACCUGGGGCCAUAUAAGGAGACUGACAAAAGACUUAGUUAUGAACAAGAUCCCAGUUCUCUGCUCAUCAUGGCUUCAUGUGCUUCAAGAAGGGCAGGAAGAAUCGGAGAUUUGCAGCUACGCUCUUUUUUAAAAAUGUGUAUGAGAGACAUUCUUAGGAAAAAGGAUAAAACAGAUAUUCCUAAAGCAACAAAGUGGGACAGACGUAAUGUCAAUGUUUCUCCUGACUACUGCUUCCAACUUUAAUGCGUAAAUAUUCUAUCACCUGGGGAUUGUGUAAGAUACAGAUUGUGAACCAGUAGGUCAGGGGUAGGGCCUCAGAAUCUGCAUUUCUGACAAGCUCCCACAGGAUAUUGGUGCAGCUAGUCUGAGGACCAUAUUUUAUUUUUUAAGUUUUUUUUUUUUUUUUUUUUGAUGUGGACCAUUUAUAAAGUCUUUAUUGAACUUGUUACUCAUGUGUGCUACAUGUGUGUUACAACUUUUGUUUUAUGUUUUGGUUUUCUGGCCAUGAGAUAUGUGAGAGCUUCCAGACCAGGAAUUGAAUGCAUACCCAUUUCAUUGGAAGGCAAAAUCUUAACCACUGGACCACCAGGGAAGUCUCUGAGGACCUCAUUUUAAAUAAUUAGGGGCUAGACCAAUUUACUGGCCUUUCAAAUACUUGCCCCUCAAUACUAUUUCAAAGAAGUUUCAUUUAAGAAUUCUUACUCAACUCAACAAGAGCUCUCCUGAAGACAAGCACUGCAUAUUCUAGCUCCCUGGUAGAUCUCUUAGCACCUAGCAUGGCGCCAUCAGCAGAACAAAAAAGAUGAAGUAACUAAGUUUCAGAAGCAAACCUUUCCAGAGGCAAUGCAGCACAGAUACAAGGAAGAAGACCUAGGUUCAAGGACAAUUUGUGAUAUCGGCAGAAAAGCGUCGGGGUCUUUUCCAGUGAGUUGGCUCUUUGCACCAGGUGGCCAAAGUAUUAGACAUUCAGC